AAGUCGUAACAAGGUCUCCGUUGGUGAACCAGCGGAGGGAUCAUUACCGAGAAUCUCUUCUCAACCAUGGCGAACGUACCCCCCUAAAACGACGUCCCUUCGGCGGAUCGGCCCCUGUGGCUGCGCCGCCGUAGGGCGUACGCAACCCUGUAUUUUACUGGCAUCUUCUGAGUUUGAUUUUCUAAAUCAGUCAAAACUUUCAACAACGGAUCUCUUGGCUCUG
rnacentral:misc_RNA from 1 species